UGGGUUGGAGGGGGUUGGGAUUCUGCAGGUCCAAAGUUGUUGCCAGGGCCUGACUCUUCUUGUGGGGUUGGAGGGUUUUUUUCUCCCAUACUUCUAGAGGGAUAUGGAAGUAAGGUUGAAUGUCACAUGAACGCUCCUUGAUAGAUGGACUCCCCUCUCCUGGAAGAGCUUUUCAGAGCUGCUUCCUCUGCCUCGGGCUAACCUCUUUGGGAACAGGGUUAGGGUACUGCUAUUCCAGGCCUUUCCCCCACGACCCUCUGCUGGAGAUGUCCUGUCUCACAUGCCUGGGACAGUUCAUCUCAGCCAUCCUGCAGACUGGACAAAAGCCCUGCGGCUCUCCAGUAACGACUAAUGACUACUCGUGGGGUUCCAUUUGCUAUUGUAUGAGGCCUUCUCUCCUGCACCAUCACCCUGGAUCAUGACAGCAGCUUGGUCUCUGAUGUGGCUUUGGGGCAGUUUCCCUGCUACAGAGAAGAUCAAUCAGCCUGUUCUCCAUUGGCCGUUUAAAAACACCCUGAUUUCAUGGUGGGUGUCAGAAUUGAUGAAACAUGGAACCUGCACCCCUGCACUCCCCAAAGCUUAUUAACUCCUUCACUGUAUCCCAGAUGUGUGUGUGUAUGUGUGUGUGUGUGUGUGUGUGUGUGUGCACUCGCGUGUGGCUGUGUGUGGAUGUGUGCACGCACGCGUAAGUGCACACAUGGCAGGUGCCUGGGCUGUCUUCGCUAUAUGUAAAUAGGGCCACUGGAUCUUUAUUUUUGAUUAAUUUGUUCUGAUUUUUUUUGGUUUGUUUUUUAAGGAACUGUAAUGAACAAAUGUCAGGAUACCCAAUGCCAAAUAAAGAUGAUGUAUUUAUUUAG